UGAAGACAACUUCAGUUACGACGGUUAAAUAGAUAGAAUUUUCAGAUACAAUCAAAAGUUCAGAUACAAUCGGAUUCAUAAUGGCAAGAUUUACAAGUUCCGUCUGUAAACUUAUAUUUAUAGUGACAAUAUCUACAUCAGCAUCGAUGUCAUUGUCACAAGAUAGAAUGAAGUCAGUUGAUUCUUUGAAUAGAAUAUUAUCAAAAAGGUCUGCAGCAGAACUUAUAAACGCUGUUUUGCUGGCACCAAAUGCUUGUCUGCCAGUUGAUGACUUCCGCAUUGGUCUAGAAAAUCUGAUACAGAUGGAACUGUCUAGAAUGCAAAGCUGUAUAAGUCACCAAGAAUCACAAAGAAAUGUCGACAAUUAAAUAAUGAUUGCUGGUUGCGGUUGUUAAACAUGGAAGAUGGAAAAUGGUCAUAUCAUCACAAGCGUUUUAUGUUCACAUCUGUAAAUUUACAGCUUAAAAUGACACUUUUUAACAGAUUGGAAAACAAUAUUAUGUACAGAACAGAAUAUAUUAAAUUAUUGUCGAAAUCGUGAACUGUUCAAGUAGUGUUGUUAAAUAGUUACAUGGAAAUGUCUUCAAAUUGUUACUAUCAAUAAAAAUUUAUCAAACCAUU